rnacentral:rRNA from 1 species
AUUCGCGGCCUAUCAGCUUGUUGGUGGGGUAACGGCCCACCAAGGCAACGAUGGGUAGCCGGCCUGAGAGGGUGACCGGCCACAUUGGGACUGAGAUACGGCCCAGACUCCUACGGGAGGCAGCAGUAGGGAAUCUUGCGCAAUGGGCGAAAGCCUGACGCAGCAACGCCGCGUGGGGGAUGAAGGCCCUCGGGUUGUAAACCCCUUUCAGCAGGGACGAAAAUGGCGGUACCUGCAGAAGAAGCCCCGGCCAACUACGUGCCAGCAGCCGCGGUAAUACGCAGGGGGCAAGCGUUGUCCGGAAUUAUUGGGCGUAAAGAGCUCGUAGGCGGUUCGGUAAGUCGGGUGUGAAAAUCCAGGGCUCAACCCUGGGACGCCACCCGAUACUGCUGUGACUGGAGUCCGGUAGAGGAGUGUGGAAUUCCUGGUGUAGCGGUGAAAUGCGCAGAUAUCAGGAGGAACACCAGCGGCGAAGGCGGCACUCUGGGCCGGUACUGACGCUGAGGAGCGAAAGCGUGGGGAGCAAACAGGAUUAGAUACCCUGGUAGUCCACGCCGUAAACGUUGGGCACUAGGUAUGGGGUCUUAUCAACGGAUUCCGUGCCGUAGCUAACGCAUUAAGUGCCCCGCCUGGGGAGUACGGAAUCGUCGACCGCAGGC